GCCCUCUUUUAGGCCAUGGUUGUAUCAUAAACUAAACUAUAUGGUAGUAUUCAUCCAUCGAAAUAGAAGUGCUGAGAAAUGCUGCAAACUGUUGCCAGCCACCUUAAGUUUAACAAACUGUGAGCCAGCUGUUGUCAUCGCUAUCAUAAACUGACAAAUUAAAAAUUAUCUUUCCAAACACUGCUGCUUAGCUUUUCCUGAAAACACAGUUAAUUUUAUAAUGUCCAAGACAACAGUGACGUCACAAAGAAGAGUCUCAGUUCUAUUCCUUCCGUUAAAGUGCGCAGUCAUUUUUGGAAACGUUUUCGUGAAGCCAUCGGCUGUCUUCGUGUUUUUAACUUUUUUACUCCUUUUCAGGGCUCAGAAAGAAAAAUUUCCGCAGAAGUUUCCUCUUUUUUUUAACAUUUCGUCGCUCUAAAUUAUGGUUCAUUUGGCCUUUAAGAGGUUGGCGCUACGUGAAAACUGGCUUGAAAUAAAAAACACGAAUGGAUAGGCAGAAUAGCGGUAGCAAUAUGGUCCAUCAUUGACUUAGCGCGAUAAUGGGUUUUAUGCUGGGGCGGGGCCUUAUCUUAUCUUACGGUACAAGCUGCAGAGGUAGAUAGCCGAUAAUGGGCUAGACACCACACGCAGAGCAAGCUUUAAAUUCGCGUGCUCUGCUAAACCUCUCUCCUUUUUCUGCCAGCGCCGAUCGUGAUAGCUGUUUAGCCUUAGAAGCGUACUUUACUUUCUUUAAUUUCGUCGGCCCUCCACCAUCCCCUGAGCUCCUCCUCUGCUCUUCUUACCUGUUACCGGGCUGGCUGUUUUUCGCCCCAACUUUAUUCACUGAAUCAAAUAUAGCAAAGUUUAAUUGAUUAAUUUGACACCAUAGCAUUUGAAUAGUUUGAAAUAAACGCUACGUGAGUGGCCAAAUUAAUCCA